GCACUCGCUCUAACAGCACAUACACUAAAACUGGAACAAUACAGAGAAGAUUAGCUGGCCCCUGCACAAGGAUCACACUCAGAUUCUUGAAGUCUUCUAUGUUUUC
ensembl:snRNA U6 U6 spliceosomal RNA